GACGAACGCUGGCGGCGUGCUUAACACAUGCAAGUCGAACGGAAAGGCCCUGCUUUUGUGUGGUGCUCGAGUGGCGAACGGGUGAGUAACACGUGAGUAACCUGCCCUUGACUUUGGGAUAACUUCAGGAAACUGGGGCUAAUACCGGAUAGGAGCUCCUGCUGCAUGGUGGGGGUUGGAAAGUUUCGGCGGUUGGGGAUGGACUCGCGGCUUAUCAGCUUGUUGGUGGGGUAGUGGCUUACCAAGGCGUUGACGGGUAGCCGGCCUGAGAGGGUGACCGGCGACAUUGGGACUGAGAGACGGCCCAGACUCCUACGGGAGGCAGCAGUGGGGAAUAUUGCACAAUGGGCGGAAGCCUGAUGCAGCAACGCCGCGUGCGGGAUGACGGCCUUCGGGUUGUAAACCGCUUUCGCCUGUGACGAAGCGUGAGUGACGGUAAUGGGUAAAGAAGCACCGGCUAACUACGUG
rnacentral:rRNA from 1 species